UUCUCUGUUCAUGAAAAAUGGAGUGAUUUGUGUUUAUUUUUUAGGUUUAUUUAAAGAGGCAUACCCUUCAAGAGGGAUGAUUCCCUGAGUCCUGUAGCUUUUUCUGAUCAUUGUAUUUACAAAAAUACAAGAAAAACUUCCUGGUUUUCUCUUAUUAACCUAGCAACGCUAGCAGAGCUCCGUCCUGCAGCACAGAGGGUUCCCAGUCUUGCCCUGACUCAGAUUGGCAUUCAAAUGAAUGUGGAUAGAUGGCCCCUUUAAGACUCUCCCUGUUCAAUACAGGAAGGUCCGGAACAUAGAGGAUGUGGAUACGGAAGGGGAUGUAGGGGCAUGGUCCAAUGGCCCCUGCAUGAGUUGAUAUCUUCUGUUCAGGCAUAAUACCCCAACAGGGCAUCACUCUCUUUGAUACGGAAAACAAGAGAAAAGGGGCAAAAACCUGAAAGCAGAGAGAACAGACCCUUCCGUUUAGUGAUCAGAAAUGGCAUCAAACCUUCAUAUUCAUUUGGAAUAGAGCCCAGAGAAGUAGAACUUUGCCACCUUUUGUACAUGCGUAGAAUUUUCAGGGGACAAUGAAGAAGUUCAUCAAUAUGCCUAUUGUUACUCCAACUAUGUA